rnacentral:rRNA from 1 species
GAUGAACGCUGGCGGCGUGCCUAAUACAUGCAAGUCGAGCGAACAGACGAGGAGCUUGCUCCUCUGACGUUAGCGGCGGACGGGUGAGUAACACGUGGAUAACCUACCUAUAAGACUGUGAUAACUUCGGGAAACCGGAGCUAAUACCGGAUAAUAUAUUGAACCUCAUGGUUCAAUAGUGAAAGACGGUUUUGCUGUCACUUAUAGAUGGAUCCGCGCCGCAUUAGCUAGUUGGUAAGGUAACGGCUUACCAAGGCAACGAUGCGUAGCCGACCUGAGAGGGUGGUAGGCCACACUGGAACUGAGACACGGUCAAGACUCCUACGGGACGGAGCAGUAGGGAAUCUGACGCAAUGGGCGAGAGCCUGACGGAACAACGCCGCGUGAGUGAUGAAGGUCUUCGGAUCGUAAAACUCUGUUAUUAGGGAAGAACAAAUGUGUAAGUAACUAUGCACGUAUUGACGGUACCGAAUAAGAAAGCCACGGCUAACUACGUG